rnacentral:rRNA from 1 species
AUAGGUCUAGGAUGCUGGAAUGCUUCUAGGCCGAAAGUUCCGGCGCCUGAGGAUGGCUCUGCGGCUUAUCAGGUUGUAGUGAGAGUAAUGUCCUCACUAGCCUAUGACGGGUACGGGCCCUGAGAGGGGGUGCCCGGAGAUGGACUCUGAGACACGAGUCCAGGCCCUACGGGGCGCAGCAGGCGCGAAAACUCCGCAAUGCUCGAAAGAGUGACGGGGGGAUUCCAAGUGCCUACGUUUUACGUAGGCUGUUCAGAUGCCUAAAAAGCAUCUGGAGUAAGGGCUGGGUAAGACGGGUGCCAUCUGCAGCAGUAAUGGAAAGAUUAUUACUGCAAGGCAUAAGCCGCCGCGGUAAUACCCGCAGCCCGAGUGGUGGUCGAUUUUAUUGGGCCUAAAGCGUCCGUAUCCGGUCUGGUAAAUGCCUGGGUAAAUCGUCUGGCUUAACCAGACGAAUUCCGGGUAGACUACCAGACUUGGGACCAGUUGAGGAAGAGGGUACUUUAGGGGUAGGAGUGAAAUCCUGUAAUCCUUGAAGGACCACCAGUGGCGAAGGCGCUCUUCCAGGACGGAUCCGACGGUGAGGGACGAAAGCCAGGGGAGCAA